CAAUAGCGUAUAUUAAAGUUGUUGCAGUUAAAAAACUCGUAGUUGGAUUUCUGGUUGAAGCGACCGGUCGGGCGUUGAUUCGUCUGCACUGGAGUCGGUUUUGGCCAUCCUCUAGGAAAGUGCGUCUGGUAUUAAGUUAUCGGGCGUAUGAUCCUGGUCUUUUACUGUGAAAAAAUUAGAGUGUUUAAAGCAGGCCUUCGCCUUGAAUACAUUAGCAUGGAAUAAUAAGAUAGGACUUUGGUCUAUUUUGUUGGUUUGCAGACCGAAGUAAUGAUUAAUAGGGAUAGUUGGGGGUAUUUAUAUUCCGAUGUCAGAGGUGAAAUUCUUAGAUUUUCGGAAGAUAAACUUAUGCGAAAGCAUUUACCAAGGAUGUUUNCAUUAA
rnacentral:rRNA from 1 species